GAACUGAGGCUUCUUUCCACUUCUGGGCCUAUUGUUAAAAAGGUGGGAGAAGGUAAGACGUAGAGUCUUGAAGCAGGAUCCUUCUUUAUGCACACAUCUUUCUCUCCUUCCCUUUUCUCUCAUCAUCCAAAAUUGUGUUCUGAUUGUGAUUCAUAUUGGAGUACCAUUUUCAUCUUUGCUAUGAUGCUCAUUGCUUUUAUCCACAGAUCCUUCCAUCUCCAUGGAACAGCUUUCUCUCUUUUGCUGGGUUUGCUACUCUAUGCAUCUCUUUACCCUGGCUUUUGAGACUUGAGGUGCAUAUUUUUAGGACCCACCUUCUGUGUGUGUAAGGCCAGAGAACCCUUUCCAAACAUGGAGAGUGCAGAAUGUGCCAGCUUGCGCUGAACUUUCCAGACUGGGCUGUAAUUGCCAAAUGCAAUGUCUUUUCCGUUUCGAGUCAGCAAGUCUGUUGUCACCUUGAAUCAAUGAAGAAGAAAACUUAACAGCAUUGUAGUUUUAUUUUACUUGGAAGGAGGAAAAACACAAACAACUAUUUUCAUCAGAUUCAUUCUUCUGCAUUUGAUUAAAAUUUACUUUUUAAAGCCA